rnacentral:hammerhead_ribozyme from 1 species
AUCCAGCUGACGAGUCCCGAGUAGGACGAAACGCGCAUCCUGGAU